rnacentral:ncRNA from 2 species
GUAAACCACAAGGGGAGCCAUAGCUGAGAUUGAACGUUGUAAAAAUCGUUCUAACCCUUCGAACCUGUUAGUUAGCACUAGCGUAGGGAUGUGGAUGGCCAUAUUA